AACCCAUGUUGAGGGCAUUUACGCAGUAGAUCCUUGAACCUUUCCUAUGUCUCAAUAGGAGACUCCAAUUCCAUUUGCACACAAGAGGAUAUAUCAUUCUUGAGUUU